AAAUGCGAUAAGUAAUGUGAAUUGCAGAAUUCAGUGAAUCAUCGAAUCUUUGAACGCACAUUGCGCCCACUAGUAUUCUGGUGGGCAUGCCUGUUCGAGCGUCAUUUCAACCCUUAAGCCUAGCUUAGUGUUGGGAGUCUACUGUUCUUUUACGGUAGUUCCCCAAA
rnacentral:rRNA from 1 species